GAUGAAGAACGUAGCGAAAUGCGAUAAGUAAUGUGAAUUGCAGAAUUCAGUGAAUCAUCGAAUCUUUGAACGCACAUUGCGCCCGCUGGUAUUCCGGCGGGCAUGCCUGUUCGAGCGUCAUUUCAACCCUCAAGCACUCCGGAGUUUGGUGUUGGGGCGCCUGGGGCUUUUCGACCUCAGGGCCCUCAAGUCCAUCGGCGGGACCGCCAGGACACUGAGCGCAGUAGUAUUAUUUCGCUCGGUAGGAUAUUCCACGGCGGGUCGAUCUGGCCGCUAAACCCCCCAAUUCUCACCAAAGGUUGACCUCGGAUCAGGUAGGAAUACCCGCUGAACUUAAGCAUAUCAAUAAGCGGAGGA
rnacentral:misc_RNA from 1 species